rnacentral:misc_RNA from 1 species
UUUAAUUAAUUAAUUAAUUAAUUAUUAGCCUUGGCAAUAUAGUUGCAUAAAAUUUCCCAUUUUCAUUUGUUAAUAUGUGCCCUUCCUUAGACAUCAUUUGGUUUCUUUAGAUCUUGCAUUUUUCAUAUGAUGAAAUAACUUGGUGGAUGUUGUAAUAUAGAAGCUUGCACUUCAUUUAUUUCGAAGGAUGGAAUGGAUGGAUUGUUCCAACUUCCAUUUGUACUCCUGUCAUUAAAAGAUCUUUGUUGCUCUUACUGCUGUUGUUUUGCAUUGUAAAAAAGUAAUUAUAAUGGUAUUUAAUGUUAUUGGGAUGGUUUGUUUUAGCGUGCAAUGCUUCGUAGGAAAGGCAGAAGUAAACUGUGAAGCUGAUAUCAGUUUUGGUCAUAUCCCAGCAAUACUUGCAACUCUGUUUCUUCUUCUUCCUGUCCUUCCUUGCCAUCGCCCCUCACCUAGCUCCUUUCCAUCUCUCUUCUCUCUUUCCCUCUCUCCCUGUAUAUUGCAGAGCUCACUUUCAACCAUCUUGAAGUGGUUAAAUAGCAUUUGGUGAUCUGGGAAUAAGUAUGGGUCUAACCUCUUAAGAAUAAGAUUUUAGCAUUUUCCUUGCUGACAUGUUUGAGUUCUGCUUAUUCCAGAGAAAAAAUGGCAGAGGUGAUAGAGAAUCCCAAGUUGAUCAUGGGCACAAAAAAUGGUAAGUUGAUCAUGGGCACAAAAAAUGGU